rnacentral:rRNA from 1 species
AGAGUUUGAUCAUGGCUCAGAUUGAACGCUGGCGGCAUGCUUUACACAUGCAAGUCGAGCGGCAGCGCGGGGGCAACCCUGGCGGCGAGCGGCGAACGGGUGAGGAAUACAUCGGAACGUACCCCGGAGUGGGGGAUAACCCAGCGAAAGUUGGGCUAAUACCGCAUAUGCUCUACGGAGGAAAGCGGGGGAUUCGCAAGAACCUCGCGCUAUGGGAGCGGCCGAUGUCCGAUUAGCUUGUUGGUGGGGUAAUGGCUUACCAAGGCGACGAUCGGUAGCUGGUCUGAGAGGAUGAUCAGCCACACUGGGACUGAGACACGGCCCAGACUCCUACGGGAGGCAGCAGUGGGGAAUUUUGGACAAUGGGGGCAACCCUGAUCCAGCCAUGCCGCGUGCGGGAAGAAGGCCUUCGGGUUGUAAACCGCUUUUGUCCGGAAAGAAAAGGCACUCCCUAAUAUGGGGUGUUCUUGACGGUACCGGAAGAAUAAGCACCGGCUAACUACGUGCCAGCAGCCGCGGUAAUACGUAGGGUGCGAGCGUUAAUCGGAAUUACUGGGCGUAAAGCGUGCGCAGGCGGUCCGCAAAGUCUGAUGUGAAAGCCCCGGGCUCAACCUGGGAACUGCAUUGGAAACUAACGGGCUCGAGUGUGGCAGAGGGGGGUGGAAUUCCACGUGUAGCAGUGAAAUGCGUAGAGAUGUGGAGGAACACCGAUGGCGAAGGCAGCCCCCUGGGCUAACACUGACGCUCAGGCACGAAAGCGUGGGGAGCAAACAGGAUUAGAUACCCUAGUAGUCC